rnacentral:rRNA from 1 species
UACGUAGGGUGCAAGCGUUAAUCGGAAUUACUGGGCGUAAAGCGUGCGCAGGCGGUGAUGUAAGACAGGUGUGAAAUCCCCGGGCUUAACCUGGGAACUGCAUUUGUGACUGGCGGGCUAGAGUAUGGCAGAGGGGGGGUAGAAUUCCACGUGUAGCAGUGAAAUGCGUAGAUAUCAGGAGGAACACCGGUGGUGUAGACGGCUCUCUGGACCGUAACUGACGCUGAGGCACGAAAGCGUGGGUAGCAAACAGG